GACAGAGGUGCCGAGCGUUAGGCGGAAUUACUGGGCUUAAAGCGCGUGUAGGCGGAUGGGGACGUCGGUCGCUGAAAGCCCCCGGCUCAACCGGGGAACGGGCGCCGAAACGCCCCGUCUGGAGGGACGUAGGGGGACCUGGAACUUCCGGUGGAGCGGUGAAAUGCGUAGAUAUGCGGAGGAACACCGAUGGCGAAGGCAAUCCCCUGGACCUGUACUGACGCUCAUGCACGAAAGCGUGGGAGCAAACAGG
rnacentral:rRNA from 1 species